rnacentral:lncRNA from 1 species
UACAGGAAGUCAAGGUCAGGCCAUACCCACCACAGUUCGGGCAGCCAUAGAGGAGAGCUUUCUUAACGGUCCGCUGGGACCCAAGUGGGCCUCCCCUGGGACUGCGUGCUCCCCUACAGAACCUGAUGGCUGGAAACACUCACACUACUGCCUGUCCCGGCAUCUCUCCCUCCGCCGCAGGGGCUGAUGCUGCCACAGGACACAGAGCAGCAGGCCCCAGAGGCUUCUCUGCACCUCUGCUGCCUUUCUGAGUAAUCAGAGGAGGCCACACCCACUCCAGGACACCCACACGGGCCUUCUGGGCGAUGACGCUCCUGGCCCAGGAGUGGGGGGCUGCCUCACACCUGCUGCUGUGGGGCAGAGUCUCUCCUGGGUCGGGGCCUCGCUGGCGGAUCUGCUCCAUGUCGUGUGAUGUGCUGCAGCCCCGCGUCACCGAGAGCCUCUUAUGGGCCACCAAGUCCACACAGCCACUGGCCAUGGGGCACCCUGCAGGGCCUCUGGACACGGAGACCUGUGGUUCUCAGCCAGUGGUGAUUUUGUGUCCAGGGAACACCUGGCCAAGUCUGGGUUCAAUUUUGUUUGUCACAGUUUAAGGUUGGGGUGUCACUAGACAUCCUACAGUGCACAGGACGGCCCCACAGCAGACCAGCCCGACUGUCAGCAGCACCGAGCCGGGAAAGCCUGGUCUGGAGCCGUUUCUCUCUAGGGUCCCUGCUAGGGAACCCCUCACUGCCAUGGAGAACCCCUCUCCUCCUGUCUCUCAGGACUCUCCGAGGGUCAAGGAUGGAUGCCUCCCCAUCGAGGGCCAAACAAACUGACAAAUCGAGUGGGCAAACGGCUUACUCAAAGGCCAGGAGCAGCUACCCGAUGACUGCUCCCUCGACCUCUCUCUUCUCACUUUCUUCCCUAUUCCAUCCUUUGAUGGGUGGCCUGUUACACGUUUGGAAAUAAAAACAAGUGGGAAAGAAAAAAAAAAAAAAAAAA